rnacentral:misc_RNA from 1 species
GCCAGGAGAACUCGUUAAGUAAGAUAUAAGGUUGGAAGAUAUCCCAUAGUACGCAAAUCUCUCCGCCACUUCAACAGCUAUGAUGAAUGAUGCUGAUCUCCAUCCGCCGGAGCUUGAUCGGUGGGCCGGCCUGCUUUUGUAGUCAACGGAUCCAUCCACUGUGACGUCUUCCAUUAAUGGAGUAGUUGCCAUUGGCUUCAAACUCAG